CGUGUUCCGCGCCGGCGCCGAUCUCUCCGUCAAAGCGGAACAAUUCUCAGAGUAAAUGUCCCGUUUUCUGAUUUAUUUCCAUUUCCAUCCGAGGGAAGUUGGGGGCGUUUGUGAAGCUGUGGCCGGAGUCUGAUGUAUCGCCGAGAGUUAGACCUGCGGUGAGAGAUUUAUUGGAAGAAAAACCCCAACUGGAAGCAAACCACGACUGAAGACGAGGGAACAGCAACAAGUGAACCAGCCCGAGGGUUGAGAGCAUCAACUGGAGAGAACCCAUCUGACUCGGAGAUUCCAGUGAUUCAGUCAGGAGAAAGUUUGGU